rnacentral:misc_RNA from 1 species
CUAUCGCCACGCAGUCUCUCUUAGCAACCAUGGCAAAUUCUGUCCGCUACCGCAACGGUGAACAGCGCAUCGUCGGCAUCAUCGGCGACGAAGAUACAGUCACCGGGUUUCUUCUUGCUGGAGUUGGCGACAACCGAGUGAUGCCUAACCAAAGGGAGAAUCCAGGCGAAGGCCAGCAAAGCGGGCUUCCACCAAACUACUAUGUUGUGACCCCAUCGACCCCUCUGUCGGAGAUCGAAGAAGCGUUUACAACGAUGUGUGGACGAAAGGAUAUUGGAAUCAUCAUCAUCUGCCAGCAUAUAGCCAACGAUAUUCGCCAUCUUGUGGAGGAAUACAACACUGUGAUUCCUUGCAUCUUGGAGAUUCCAAGCAAGGGGCAAAAAUAUGACGCCGAAAAAGAUUUUGUGCUGGAGAAGAUCACUCGUGCGCUGGGUAUUCGGUAGCUUACGUACGUCGCCGGUGGUUUUGCAGUGUGUAGGUCAUUUUCGCUUUGUGCUUCUUUCUAUGUGUCCGCUGGGAAGAGGAAGCUGGCGACCAAGGCGUUUCAUGUAUUUUUGGCGGUGCUAUCGACUAUUAGGAUGGUUACUAAACGAUGCCUGGCUUUGCUUUUCAGAGGGGUGAGAG